rnacentral:rRNA from 1 species
CUCGUAGGCGGUCUUGUAAGUCGCGUGUUAAAUCCCCGGGCUUAACCCGGGAACUGCGCGCGAUACUGCUAGGCUAGAGGACGGGAGAGGAAAGUGGGAUUCCAGGUGUAGCGGUGAAAUGCAUAGAUAUCUGGAAGAACACCAGUGGCGAAGGCGGCUUUCUGGACCGUUUCUGACGCUGAGGAGCGAAAGCUAGGGUAGAGAACGGGAUUAGAUACCCCGGUAUUCCUAGCUGUAAACGAUGGGCACUAGGUGUGGGAGGUAUCGACCCCUUCCGUGCCGCAGCUAACGCAUUAAGUGCCCCGCCUGGGAAGUACGGCCGCAAGGUUAAA